UACGUAGGGUGCAAGCGUUGUCCGGAAUUACUGGGCGUAAAGAGCUCGUAGGUGGUUUGUCACGUCGUCUGUGAAAUUCCGGGGCUUAACCUCGGGCGUGCAGGCGAUACGGGCAAUACUUGAGUGCUGUAGGGGAGACUGGAAUUCCUGGUGUAGCGGUGAAAUGCGCAGAUAUCAGGAGGAACACCAAUGGCGAAGGCAGGUCUCUGGGCAGUUACUGACGCUGAGGAGCGAAAGCCAGGGGAGCAAACGGGAUUAGAUACCCCGGUAGU
rnacentral:rRNA from 1 species